CUCUAUGCAAAUUAUUUGUGCUUCGUUUAGCCAAAAACAACUAUAUUGCCACUCAAAGUCAAGUAUAUUUUUGGUUUUUUCAUUGGAUAAGCUUAUAUGUAUAAUAUAUAACAAAGCGACUCUCUUGCCCCUUCUGGUAAAUACAACAUCUCACCCUAUGAAAUAAAACCAAAAUGUUUACUACAAGGAUGACCCAUUGAGAUGAAAUCAAAUUUAUAAAUCCACUUAAUUCUCCGAUUCAUCUCUUUUAUCCUCCAAGAGAGGCUCUCUUUUGUCCUCCAAGAAUGGCUCUUUUUUGUCUUCCCAUAUGUUCAACCGAUCCUGUGCAUUCUCCACCUGAAAAUUUGUAAAGCAAACCCAUAAACACAGAUGAUCAUUGGUAACUACAUCAUCAAUAUAAAGCUAAAAACAUAUGGGCCAAGAAAAAGGGAAAGAAAAAAAGAGCACGGUGGCUGGAACUAUAUUAUUGUUGAGUUGUCUAAGCAAGCGUGGACCCUUGUCAGAGGCUGCGUAAUCUUGUACAGAAGUGUAAUGAAUUGAACGCGCAGCUUUUGUUGGCUGGAAAUGGAUGAGUUGGAUAUGAAUGCGACGGGUAAUCAAAAGAUUUACCCGAGUGAGUUUCACUUAGCUAGCUAUCAUGAGUAGCAACAUGAAAUUAGAAACCAUCCUCUACUUUACAAGAAAUUUUACCUCUUUAUUCCAGUCUGUUCGAUAAGUGACCCACAAUAAAAUAAUAGUCUGUAAAAAUGUACCACCUAUCAUCCCUGACCAUAUUCCCUACAAGUACAAUUAAAAAAUGUAAUGUGGAUUAGAGGAUAACUAUAAUAAAAAGAUCAUAAACAGAGGGGAAGUACAUCAAUUAUAAUGUGGAAUUGUGCAUGAUUAAUACCAUACCUGUACACCAAGGUUGAAUUUAAAUCCAAGAAGUACCCCUAAUGGAACACCAAUCAGGUAAUAACAUCCAACGUUCACAUAUGCUACAAAAGCUUGCCAUCCACAUCCAACAGCC
rnacentral:misc_RNA from 1 species